GGYGACGGGGUGAGUAACACGUGAGUAACCUGCCCWUAAYUCUGGGAUAAGCCUGGGAAACUGGGUCUAAUACCGGAWAGGAGCGCCUACCGCAUGGUGGGUGUUGGAAAGAUUUAUCGGUUUUGGAUGGACUCGCGGCCUAUCAGCUUGUUGGUGAGGUAAUGGCUCACCAAGGCGACGACGGGUAGCCGGCCUGAGAGGGUGACCGGCCACACUGGGACUGAGACACGGCCCAGACUCCUACGGGAGGCAGCAGUGGGGAAUAUUGCACAAUGGGCGCAAGCCUGAUGCAGCGACGCCGCGUGAGGGAUGACGGCCUUCGGGUUGUAAACCUCUUUCAGUAGGGAAGAAGCGAAAGUGACGGUACCUGCAGAAGAAGCACCGGCUAACUACGUGCCAGCAGCCGCGGUAAUACGUAGGGUGCGAGCGUUAUCCGGAAUUAUUGGGCGUAAAGAGCUCGUAGGCGGUUUGUCGCGUCUGUCGUGAAAGUCCGGGGCUUAACCCCGGAUCUGCGGUGGGUACGGGCAGACUAGAGUGCAGUAGGGGAGACUGGAAUUCCUGGUGUAGCGGUGGAAUGCGCAGAUAUCAGGAGGAACACCGAUGGCGAAGGCAGGUCUCUGGGCUGUAACUGACGCUGAGG
rnacentral:rRNA from 1 species